rnacentral:rRNA from 1 species
UACGUAGGGUGCAAGCGUUAAUCGGAAUUACUGGGCGUAAAGCGUGCGCAGGCGGUUCGUUGUGUCGGCGGUGAAAGCCCCGGGCUUAACCUGGGAAUGGCCGUUGAAACUGGCGAACUGGAGUGUGGCAGAGGGGGGUGGAAUUCCGCGUGUAGCAGUGAAAUGCGUAGAGAUGCGGAGGAACACCGAUGGCGAAGGCAGCCCCCUGGGCUGACACUGACGCUCAGGCACGAAAGCGUGGGGAGCAAACAGG